ACCCAAAGAUCUUCAACCAAGCUGGGCAAGUGUUCAACCAUUGAGCUACACCCCCGACCCUCCCUUCCGUUUGGCUGCAACAAUAAACCAGUUGUGUCUAGGAGAUCCAACGCCGGUCAAGCCGCUCUACCCACUGAGCCAUCUGGCUGCCUGUCAAGAAGACAAACUUCUGUUGCGCAGUGCUCAGGCACCUGUGAAGACAGGAACUUGGGGAUGAAUGAGGAGAGAGCCUAGAGAGAAAGGGCCCUCGUCUGGCGCACAGAGUCCCUGAACAGAUUUGGACUGGCUUAGCAUGACCAGCAGUCUCAGCCAUAGACGCGUUCUCUCUCUCUCUCUCUCUCUCUCUCUCUCUCUCUCUCUCUCCUGCCUGUCCAGAAAUAGUUUCCGGGAACCGAGGUGCUUCCCCGCCAGCCAGCGGGGAGAUAAAGCUGCCCGUGUGUGUCGCUUGUCUUGGCUGCCUCUCAGUUGACACCUCUGACAGGCCGCUUUGAUCUCGGGUUAUCAAGGCCUAACCCCGAGCCUGGCCUGCUCUGCCAGCCCUCACUCACUGGGGAAAAGGGCAUUUCAGAAGGUCAGUUCGGGGAGGGGCAGGCUUCUCCUCAUGCCCAGCUGGCCUUGAAGCAUGGGUGCUGGAUGUAGGAAUUGUACCCAGUUUUACUCUGCAGCGGUGAUGGAUGGGGGGGCUGGAGGGAGAUGGGGGCAGGGUCUUGGCUGAGAAAUGAAGCAUUCAAGUGGUGCCUACAGCAUACGGGGUGUUUACUUCAUGUCCUCAUGGGCCAGAGUCCUGGCUGCUGAUUUAUUGGCCAGCCCAGUGUAUGGCUGGCAAGUUUCUCCUCAGACUCGGUUUCCACCCCCUAUCUGGUAAAAUAUAGAGGAUUUUUAUAACUAUGGACACCUCCUCCUCUAGACUAAACCUCUAGAGAACCAUUGUACAAACUGGGUGGAAGCAGAAAAGAGGCUGUCUGAGGAGAGGGGGCCUCUGAGACGAUAUCUCAGCUCUGUUAGUGAUUAAUCACCACCACCACCACCACCACCACCACCACCACCAUCAUCAUCACCACCAUCAUCAUCAUCACCACCACCACCACCAUCAUCAUCAUCGUGUUUGAGACAUGGUCUCAGUCCAGUCCAGACAGACCUCCAUCUGACUACUCUCCUGAAUGCCUAAGGCCCAGCAUACACCACUACCUUCCGGGCUCUCGUUCUGUAAGAGAUGAAGAAUGACGUGUGGUGAGACAUCCCUCACUGGAUAGAUGGAGGCUAGAGGCUCACAGGCAAAGGUCAUCUGUGGUUGCAGAGUGAGUAUGGGAUGCAGCUUAAAGAAAGGAAAAGAGAAAAGGAAGAGAGAAAAAGAGGUGUCUGUCCCUCAGCAGGAUUCACUCAGAUGUCCUUAAAGAUCCUCCAGACUAGGAAGAAGAUAAAGCUGAAACCAGAAGAAAGAGUUGCUAAUAGCCCAUGGAUGGACUAAUCCUUUAACCCUGGAGUCAUUCUGGGAGUGGAGAGCGGGGCAAAAUAAAGCAAAUAAUAAAAUACAGGAGGGCCCCUGGCCCGGGGCGGUGGGGGUGAUGGGAGUUGGAGUCACUCGCCUGUCAGGACCUAUAUCAACAUGUCAGCCACUUGGACAAACAAGCGUUUCGAGGGGAAAUAUUUCAGAUAAACAGACACGAUGUUAUGACAUAUCACCCCCCCCCAACCCUGGAAGGGGGUCCUCGGAGACCAAGGAGAAGAAGAAAGGAAGCAACGCCAUGCAGAGAUCUGUUUUCCCUGGCUUGAGGCCCCGAGGGUCAGCUGUAA
rnacentral:lncRNA from 1 species